UUUGCUGUUUUUGUAAUUUUACCUAGAUAGAUAGGGGCGCCGUAUAUAACGUUGAAGGGGCUCUCCGGGGGAGGGAGCCUAAUUAUAAUUUCGCGGUUGCCCUCCCCUGCUCCUCUUUUGGUUGAUUAAAUUAAUUUAUAUAUAACGUUAGGGCCUUAUUGGGUUUACUGUAGUCUAUAAAAUUAUAAAAUUAUUUGAGUAGGAGUCUGGAGGUUAAACUGGUGCCAGCAUCUGCGGUUAGACUAGGUCCUUUUGGCCAUUAAGGGGUUGCCCUCAACCUCACCGGGUAGUUUGUAUGGUAAAAAAGAAAACAACUUGUUCUAAGUGUAGAAAAGGCUGCAAAGUUUCGACAAAAUAGGAUUAGAUACCCUAGUAUUAUAUCUACCUCUCCUCAGGAAUAGAUAGAGAAAUGAAACAAUUUGGCGGCCCCAGGGUAUUAGAGGGGCUUGCUAAUAAUCGAUAAACCGCGCUUGCUCCCACUUUUUUUAUUUUUGUAUACCGUCAUGUAAGGGUUCUUAAAGGGUUAAUCACUUAAUUAGGCUAGAUCAAGGUGCAAAAAUAUAGAAGUAUAGUUAGCCACAAUACCUAGCCGUACACGAAUAUUUAACUUAUCAGGUGGAUUUAUCUUUAAUAGAAUAAAAUUAUGAACUUUGAACCUGGGGUGUUCAGAUCGCCCGUCACUCUCUUUGAGAUAAGUCGAAACAAAGUAAGAUUACUGGAAAGUGAGCUUAA
rnacentral:rRNA from 1 species